AGUUGAUGAUGUGGACAUCUCCUUAGUAGCUCUUUAAAAUGCUCCUAAGCCUCAAAUAGUGAUUCCAUCACUAUCUGCACAAAAGAAGUGAUAUCAUUGCACAUCUU